rnacentral:pre_miRNA from 1 species
CCAGGUCGGAUCUGGGUGUGAUGAUGAUGGCAGCAAAUUCUAAAAACUUGUUCAGUGUCUUUUAUAACAGGAAAGCCGUAAACUUAGAAAUGUAGGCUGCAGCUCAUGUGCUCUGUGGUCUGGGCUGGUA